CCGUUUUUUCUCUCUUUUCUCUCUGUUGUUACGAAUGUGGUUCAGUGCCAUUGACGUAUCUAUACGUCAUUAAAAAAGAAGACAAAGUGAAAAUAUAGAAGAAGUUCAGAAGUGUGCAUUGAACUGGUAGCCCGCAGCUUAAUCUGUACCCAGAAAGUAGCCCUCGGCUUCGAAAAGACACCACAAUAUCGCGGUACUGUGGAUAUGGAACAUCGGAAACAUGCAACUCGUUCGGCGCCUUCGGGAAUUUCGGAACCAUUUGCUACUGUGACACAGAUCUAUGCAACGGGGCAGGAGUCGUCAGAAUCAGCGUUAUUAUGGGAACCCCUAUUGCUGGAAUCUUGGCAAAAAUACUGAUGACUGGCGUUAACUUGUUAUGAAUGUACCAACUGCAAUUCGGUUAGUUCUUCUGACGUGAAAACUUGUCCCGACUCCAAUGGGCUGACAACAAUGUGCAUCACGGCCUCCGGAAACGUAUUGGGCAUCACUACAGCAUCGCGUGGAUGCGGAUUCGGAUCGUUUCCAACAUGCAGUUCGUCCACUUUUUUCGGGAUUACUGGAACCGUUUGCUACUGUGACACGGAUCUCUGCAACGGGGGUGAUGUCAACGGGGCUGAAGCCGUCAAAAUCAGCGUCACAAUGGGAACUCUCAUUGCUGGAAUCUUGGCAAAAAUACUGAUGUAGACCUGAAGAAAUAUUAUGAUGAAUUCAAUUUUUAUUUUAUUUUUAAUAUAUAUAAAAUUUUGUGAGAUGCAUUUAACGUAUAUUUUUCCUGGAUACUUUUAGACAAGGUAUUUAAUCAGGAGCGUGCAACCUGCGGCCCGCGGGCCAAAUGGGACCAAAAAAGAAAAGUUGUGCUAGAAGUGCCGAUUUUAAAUGGUGUUCGGCCCGCGAAACGUGUUUUUAAUUCAGUUUAACAUAAAAAUCCAAUUUAGUCUAAUUGUAUCUGGCACUCUAGUAC